UUUUAAUACAGUACACCUGCUUUCAUAAUGCACGGAGAAAAAAGUAUUGCUAUUAUAGCGAUCCAGUGGAUCGUGAACGAAGUAUCGUGUUUAGCUCAAAACAGUAUUGUAAUAUUCACCAUACGAAUACAGUUAUGCUCGAAACAGUGAAUACUGAAUACCACGCUCAACUGUAUAGUGAAUAUCUCAAAAC